rnacentral:rRNA from 1 species
AGAGUUUGAUCAUGGCUCAGGACGAACGCUGGCGGCGUGCUUAACACAUGCAAGUCGAGCGGUAAGGCCCUUCGGGGUACACGAGCGGCGAACGGGUGAGUAACACGUGGGUAACCUGCCCUGUACUCUGGGAUAAGCCUUGGAAACGAGGUCUAAUACCGGAUAUGACACUGGACCGCAUGGUUUGGUGUGGAAAGUUCCGGCGGUACAGGAUGGACCCGCGGCCUAUCAGCUUGUUGGUGGGGUAAUGGCCUACCAAGGCGACGACGGGUAGCCGGCCUGAGAGGGUGACCGGCCACACUGGGACUGAGACACGGCCCAGACUCCUACGGGAGGCAGCAGUGGGGAAUAUUGCACAAUGGGCGAAAGCCUGAUGCAGCGACGCCGCGUGAGGGAUGACGGCCUUCGGGUUGUAAACCUCUUUCAGCAGGGACGAAGCGCAAGUGACGGUACCUGCAGAAGAAGCACCGGCUAACUACGUGCCAGCAGCCGCGGUAAUACGUAGGGUGCGAGCGUUGUCCGGAAUUAUUGGGCGUAAAGAGCUCGUAGGCGGUUUGUCGCGUCGGCCGUGAAAACUUGGGGCUUAACUCCAAGCUUGCGGUCGAUACGGGCAGACUUGAGUUCGGCAGGGGAGACUGGAAUUCCUGGUGUAGCGGUGAAAUGCGCAGAUAUCAGGAGGAACACCGGUGGCGAAGGCGGGUCUCUGGGCCGACACUGACGCUGAGGAGCGAAAGCGUGGGGAGCGAACAGGAUUAGAUACCCUAGUAGUCC